rnacentral:rRNA from 1 species
UACGGAGGGGGCUAGCGUUGUUCGGAAUUACUGGGCGUAAAGCGCACGUAGGCGGCUUUGUAAGUUAGAGGUGAAAGCCCGGGGCUCAACUCCGGAAUUGCCUUUAAGACUGCAUCGCUAGAAUUGUGGAGAGGUAAGUGGAAUUCCGAGUGUAGAGGUGAAAUUCGUAGAUAUUCGGAAGAACACCAGUGGCGAAGGCGACUUACUGGACACGUAUUGACGCUGAGGUGGCGAAAAGCCGUGGGGAGCAAACAGG